rnacentral:miRNA from 1 species
UGUGGGAUCUGGAGGCAUCUGG